UACAGAGGUCUCAAGCGUUGUUCGGAUUCAUUGGGCGUAAAGGGCGCGUAGGCUGCGGGGCAAGUCGGGUGUGAAAUCUCAGAGCUCAACUCUGAAACUGCACUCGAUACUGCUUUGCUUGAGGACUGGAGAGGAGACUGGAAUUUACGGUGUAGCGGUGAAAUGCGUAGAUAUCGUAAGGAAGACCAGUGGCGAAGGCGGGUCUCUGGACAGUUCCUGACGCUGAGGCACGAAGGCCAGGGGAGCAAACGGG
rnacentral:rRNA from 1 species